CCGUCCGUAGCUCAGACUGGUAGAGCAGCUGCCUCUUAAGCAGACGGUCGUAGGUUCAAAUCCUGCCGGACGGA
rnacentral:tRNA from 1 species